AUACGGAGGAUGCGAGCGUUAUUCGGAUUUAUUGGGUUUAAAGGGAGCGUAGGUGGGAUAUUAAGUCAGCUGUGAAAGUUUGGGGCUCAACCUUAAAAUUGCAGUUGAUACUGGUUUCCUUGAGUACGGUACAGGUGGGCGGAAUUCGUGGUGUAGCGGUGAAAUGCUUAGAUAUCACGAAGAACUCCGAUCGCGAAGGCAGCUCACCGGGCCGGAACUGACACUGAUGCUCGAAAGUGCGGGUAUCAAACAGGAUUAGAUACCCUGGUAGUCCGCACAGUAAACGAUGAAUACUCGCUGGUUGCGAUACACUGUAAGCGGCCAAGCGAAAGCGUUAAGUAUUCCACCUGGGGAGUACGCCGGCAACGGUGAAACUCAAAUGAAUUGACGGGU
rnacentral:rRNA from 1 species